rnacentral:misc_RNA from 1 species
UCUCCGUAGGUGAACCUGCGGAGGGAUCAUUACAGAGUUCAUGCCCUACCGGGUAGAUCUCCCACCCUAUGUUAUUAUUACUUUGUUGCUUUGGCGGGCCGUUAGGCUCCGGCCCGACUACCGGCCCCGGCUGGUAAGCGCCUGCCAGAGGACCCAAAACCCUGAAUAUUAGUGUCGUCUGAGUACUAUAUAAUAGUUAAAACUUUCAACAACGGAUCUCUUGGUUCUG